CAGAGCGUAGCUUAAAUAGAAAAGCGUCUCUUUUACACUGAGAAGAUACCCGUGCAAAGCAGGCCGCCCUGA
rnacentral:tRNA from 1 species